rnacentral:rRNA from 1 species
GUUAGGAAUAUUGGACAAUGGGCGCAAGCCUGAUCCAGCCAUGCCGCGUGAACGAUGAAGGCCUUCGGGUUGUAAAGUUCUUUAGCCGAUGAUUAUAAUGACUGUAGUCGGAAAAUAAGCCCCGGCUAACUUCGUGCCAGCAGCCGCGGUAAUACGAAGGGGGCGAGCGUUAUUCGGAAUCACUGGGCGUAAAGGGUGCGUAGGCGGUCUCAAAAGUUGGAAGUGAAAGCCCAGGGCUUAACCUUGGAAUUGCUUUCAAAACUUUGAGACUUGAAUUCGAGAGAGGAUAGCGGAAUUCCUAGUGUAGUAGUGAAAUACGUAGAUAUUAGGAGGAACACCGGUGGCGAAGGCGGCUAUCUGGCUCGACAUUGACGCUGAGGCACGAAAGCGUGGGGAGCAAACAGGAUUAGAUACCCGAGUAGUCC